AGACGUCUACAUUAGAUACCCGGGUAGUCCCAGCCGUAAACGAUGCGCGUUAGGUGUAUCGACGACCACGAGUCGUCGAGGUGCCGAAGGGAAACCGUGAAACGUGCCGCCUGGGAAGUACGGUCGCAAGGCUGAAACUUAAAGGAAUUGGCGGGGAGCACCACAACAGGUGGAGCCUGCGGUUUAAUUGGACUCAACGCCGGAAAUCUCACCGGAUAAGACAGCAGAAUGAUUGCCGGGCUGAAGACUCUGCAUGACUAGCUG
rnacentral:rRNA from 1 species